GACCCUGCUUUUGGCAGAGCACACAGCU
rnacentral:sRNA from 1 species